rnacentral:misc_RNA from 1 species
GCUUUGAUGAUCCUCAAACUCAGAAGGAGAUGAAGAUGGUUCCGUACAAGAUAGUUAAGGCUCCCAAUGGGGAUGCUUGGGUUGAGUCAAAUGGACAGCAAUAUUCACCUAGUCAGGUUGGGGCUUUUGUUCUGACCAAAAUGAAAGAAACCGCGGAGUCAUACCUUGGGAAAUCUGUUUCCAAGGCUGUAAUUACUGUUCCAGCUUACUUCAAUGAUGCCCAAAGGCAAGCAACCAAGGAUGCCG